rnacentral:rRNA from 1 species
CGGGCCGGGCCGGGCCGGGCGUCUGCUCGGGUGGAUCUCGGGGAUGAUGAGGGCGUCUAGCCGCAGCCGCCGCGUGCGAGGACGAGGCUGCCGGCGGCGGUGUGAUCGUCUGGUCUCUCAGCAGCAGCGCCAGUGGCGGCCUGGCCUCUGUACAGCUUCGACGUCGACGGCCGCCUGCUGUCGCACAGCGACGCGCAGUGCGUGAGGUUGGAGUGGAGGAAGCGGAGGCUGUAGGCCCAGAGCGUCGUCUGGUGCCACCUCCGCGAGUUCCUCUUCGACACCUUCUUCUGCCCGUGCCGGCACCCGAGGUACGCCGACCUCGAGGCCCUGCUCCGGCCGCGGUCCCAGCGGCUGGAGCUGGCGCUGCGGCGCGGGGAGCGGCGGAUGAGGGGGAUGCUGCCCAUGGCCGACGUGUAGUAGCUGGAGCUGGGCAGCAGCCACUGGAGGCCGCCCACCGACCUCCUGUGGAGCGAGCAGCUCUUCAUGUGGUAGAGCCUGCUUCGCAUGCUGUUCGAGCCGUGUUUGAAGGCCUUCAAGUUUCUCUUCUACCACAGCUUUUUGGGACAUAGCCUGCUAUUCGUUAGUCUGUUAGUCUACCUCCUUAACACACGGUUGUAGUUCCACCCUCUGUCUACACUUCAGCUCGGUCCACGGUUCUCCCCGUGGCACUUUAAGCAACCGUUUCGACUUCGGGAACCCGCACCUAAAACCCAACCGCACGUUAUGCUACUCGGUGAACCUUUCGUGCUACCGUACCACUUUCCUCAGGCGAAGAAGCUCACGGGAGUUCCCGUACCUCAUUAACAAUCCGGUCUCUUUCACUUCCAACCACUGAAAGGCCUCUCCCUGGGUAAGCUACUACUUCUUCUACUCUAUAUCCAGUCGCUGAAGGACCUCUCACUGGGGAACCUGCUUCUGCUUCUGCUUCUCUAUAUUCGUUCGUUCCGACGUUUCCACGAGUAAAGAAACCGUGCAGAAGAAUUCAACAUUAACAUUGUGAGCAACCACCACACGUUGUAACGUUUUCCUUGUGACGUUUUAAGUAACUGCAACUCCCUACUACACUCUACCAACUUUAUACGUGGAUGGAUACAUUAAAACAGUACAUGACAAGCACGGGGACACGGAGGUGAGAUGGACGGGCUACACUACCAGG